UUCUGCAUGUGUGUUAUGUGAUUCUGUGGAGAAGGGAGGAGGUGAUGUCUGAAGGUGUGGGCUGCGGAAGAGGUGGAUGGUGCUGAAGCCAGUGAAAAGCUCACAGAAACAGCAGCCUCUCCUGGGAAGAUACCUCCUCAUGGACGAGUGAUAAGCCUUUCCCCCAGAGUGCAGGAGCUAGGCUGCAGAGAACAAGGCACAGCACGCUCUCCUGGCUGCUCCAGCUUGUGGCAGCCCUCACUGAACCCACUGCGAUGGGAAUCGUUGUACAAGGUGCCCAUCCCUCACUUCAAGCCUGCGUUCCUCCUCCCCACCACUCCCGGCUUCCAUCAGCAUCCUACAGUGCUGUCCUUCCCUUUUGGCCUACUGGCAAGGAACAAGGAACAAGGAACAAGUCCAUCCUGGCAUAUAACCACCGUGCAGAGCAGCUGCCAUCCCCAGCCCCAGCACCCUGCAGACAGACCUUCCUUGGAGCCAUGCAUGGUGUGUAUUUGGUUGCGGAGUUCCUCCUAGAAAUGCAUCGGUUUGGAGAUUCCUACAGCCACGUGGGACCUGAUUGGAUAAUGAAAAUCUCAUCUGCAGCACUCACUGGCAAGCCUGGGAAGGAUCAAUUAUUAGCAGUAUCAGCUUUCCUCCCCGUGUCGUCAGCAGAGCCCUCCUUCGGCAUCACUCUGCAUGGGGACGGAUCCUUUCCCUGCUGUCCCUGGAUGACACCGGAGUAACCACACUGAACUCAAAGCUGUUGCUCCAGACGAAGUGAGAACAAGCCCAAGGAGAAUCAGGCCCUGUUGCCUCCACUGCAACGCCGAGUCCCUAAAGCGAUUGUACGGCGCGAUGGUAAACAUUAUGGGAAGAUAUGGAGUGGGAUGAAUUAAAAGCGCCUGGCUGGAUCUACGGAGGGUUUGAUUUCACCCAGGAGGAAUGAACGAACGCAGAUCACUCCGAGUUUUCAAUGUCCAAGGCGUAAUCUAAUUUCUCAAUGUAGUCAACCAGUUGAAAUUUGCAAAAUAUGGACUCUACUGGGAAUCUGGCGGAGCUUGUCUGAUUAGCGUGUGCAACUGUUCAGUGGCAGGUUUUUGUGAGCGUGUAGUCUCUGCUUCAAACAGAAUCAUCACCAGCUGGUUAUUUUUUACUGUUAUUAGGUUAGAAAAUAUCACUGAGGUAUACAACAGUAAUCAUGAAGCUGUGAUGCCAGGAAAAAAAUAAUCACGUUAAAUUGACCUUCAUGAAUAAAGAGUGAGGUUCCA
ensembl:lncRNA